rnacentral:RNase_P_RNA from 1 species
CCGGGCGGCCUGGCGAUCGCAUGGCCCGCCAUGAGGAAAGUCCGAGCAUCACAGGGCAGGGUGCCGGCUAACGGCCGGUGGAGGCGACUCCAAGGAAAGUGCAACAGAAAUAGACCGCCGUCCUCGGACGGUAAGGAUGGAAAGGCGAGGUAAGAGCUCACCCGCGGCCCGGAAACGGAACCGCGCUGUAAACCCCACCCGAUGCAAGGUUCGAACAGAGGCAAUACGGCGGCCCGUCGUGCCUCUAAAGAGACCGCUUGAGGCGUGCGGCGACGCGCGUCCCAGAUAGAUGAUCGUCCAACGACAGAACUCGGCUUACGACCGCGCCGGCAGC